rnacentral:rRNA from 1 species
CCCAAUGAGGAUUUUAAUGGCCGCAGUAUUUUGACUGUGCAAAGGUAGCAUAAUCAUUAGUUUCUUAAUUAGAAGCUGGAAUGAAAGGUUGAACGAAAAAAUAACUGUCUCUUUAUAAAUUUUUUAGAAUUUUAUUUUUAAGUUAAAAAGCUUAAAUUAAUUUAAAAGACGAGAAGACCCUAUAGAGUUUUAUUAAUUAUUUAAUAAUUUUUUAUAUUGUAUUAUUAUUUAUUUAUUAUAUAUUUAAUUUAAUUGGGGUGAUUGAAAAAUUUAAUAAACUUUUUUUAUAUUAAAACAUUAUUUUAUGAAUAAAUGAUCCAUUUUUAUGAUUAUAAGAUUAAAUUACCUUAGGGAUAACAGCGUAAUUUCUUUUAAGAGUUCAAAUCGAUAAAGAAGAUUGCGACCUCGAUGUUGGAUUAAAAUUAAUUAUUGGUGUAGAAGCUAAUAAAUUAGGUCUGUUCGACCUUUAAAAUUUUACAUGAUCUGAGUUUAAACCGGUGUAAGCCAGGUUGGUUUCUAUCUUUAAAAAUUUUUAAUAUUUUAGUACGAAAGGACCAAAUAUUAUAAAAAUUUUAUUUAAUUUUGAAUAUUAUUAAUUA